rnacentral:rRNA from 1 species
UACGAAGGGGGCUAGCGUUGCUCGGAAUUACUGGGCGUAAAGCGCACGUAGGCGGCUUGUUAAGUCAGGGGUGAAAUCCCGGGGCUCAACCUCGGAACUGCCUUUGAUACUGCAAGUCUCGAGUCCGAUAGAGGUGAGUGGAAUUCCUAGUGUAGAGGUGAAAUCGUAGAUAUUGGGAAGAACACCGGUGGCGAAGGCGGCGACCUGGUCCGGGACUGACGCUGAGGCGCGAAAGCGUGGGGAGCAAACAGG